rnacentral:rRNA from 1 species
ACAGAGGAGGCAAGCGUUGUUCGGAAUCACUGGGCUUAAAGCGCGUGUAGGCGGCGUGAUAAGUGUUCUGUGAAAUCCCACGGCUCACCCGUGGAACUGCAGGGCAUACUGUCGUGCUUGAGGCAGGUAGGGGCCACUGGAACUCUCGGUGGAACGGUGAAAUGUGUAGAUAUCGAGAGGAACGCCCGAGGCGAAAGCGGGUGGCUGGGCCUGUCCUGACGCUGAGACGCGAAAGCGUGGGGAGCAAACGGGA